rnacentral:ncRNA from 2 species
GCCCGCACCGUGACCUCGGGUUGCCUGGAAACAGGCAUGAAAAGGGAAGACCGGUCGAUCCGGCGCUGCCCCCGCAACUGUAGUCCGGCGAGGUGGAUGCAAUCAUGCCACUGGAAGCUUGUCUUCCGGGAAGGCCGCAUCCCACCGCUGACCCGGCGAGCCAGGAGACCUGCCAGGGCGUCGCCGUUAUC